ACGGAGGGUGCAAGCGUUAUUCGGAAUUACUGGGCGUAAAGCGCGUGUAGGCGGCUUAGAUAGUCUGGUGUGAAAUCCCUCGACUUAAUCGGGGAAGUGCAUUGGAUACUACUAGGCUGGAGUACUGGAGGGGAGAACGGAAUUCCAGGUGUAGAGGUGAAAUUCGUAGAUAUCUGGAGGAACAACGGAGGCGAAGGCGGUUCUCUGGACAGUUACUGACGCUGAGACGCGAAAGUGUGGGGAGCAAACAG
rnacentral:rRNA from 1 species